GAUGAACGCUGGCGGCGUGCCUAAUACAUGCAAGUCGAGCGAACGGACGAGAAGCUUGCUUCUCUGAUGUUAGCGGCGGACGGGUGAGUAACACGUGGAUAACCUACCUAUAAGACUGGGAUAACUUCGGGAAACCGUGGCUAAUACCGGAUAAUAUUUUGAACCGCAUGGUUCAAAAGUGAAAGACGGUCUUGCUGUCACUUAUAGAUGGAUCCGCGCUGCAUUAGCUAGUUGGUAAGGUAACGGCUUACCAAGGCAACGAUGCAUAGCCGACCUGAGAGGGUGAUCGGCCACACUGGAACUGAGACACGGUCCAGACUCCUACGGGAGGCAGCAGUAGGGAAUCUUCCGCAAUGGGCGAAAGCCUGACGGAGCAACGCCGCGUGAGUGAUGAAGGUCCUCGGAUCGUAAAACUCUGUUAUUAGGGAAGAACAUAUGUGUAAGUAACUGUGCACAUCUUGACGGUACCUAAUCAGAAAGCCACGGCUAACUACGUG
rnacentral:rRNA from 1 species